CCGCAUUAAAACUGUCCCCUGAAAGGGAUAUGAUCUAGCCAAGGCUGUGACACAAGAGACAUACACAUUCACCCUGUCAGCGCGUGCAGAGCAGCUGUGAUGGCUGCAUCGUGUUGCUGGAAGCAGGCCAGUGUUACCAUGUUCCUGGGCGUGCAGCUGCUGAGCAGGCAGCAUGGAGGCCGCCCUGGCUGCAGGGGACCCUUAGCCUGAGGAUCCUGCCCCAAGUUGCUGAUGCCAACAGCCAGCCCUUGCCAGAUGUCUUAUGUCUGACUCUUGGGUGUUUAGGCAGCAUAACAGUGAAAUUGAUAAUAACUAUGGAUAUCAAUUUUGAGUGUGUAAUUUUAACCAGAGCAAACCUUUAUUGAUCUCUUACUCUGUUCUCAGGCCUUCUCAUGCAUCUUACUUAAUUCUCUCAGUUCCCCAGGAGGCAGGGACUAACAUUAUCUUCUGUGUAGACCAGUGGGGAGCAACUCUGUGUGUGUGAGUGUAUGUGUGUGUGUGUGUGUG
rnacentral:lncRNA from 1 species